AGUGAACGCCGGCGGCAGGCCUAACACAUGCAAGUCGAACGGCAGCACAGGAGAGCUUGCUCUCUGGGUGGCGAGUGGCGGACGGGUGAGGAAUACAUCGGAAUCUACCUUUUCGUGGGGGAUAACGUAGGGAAACUUACGCUAAUACCGCAUACGACCUACGGGUGAAAGUGGGGGACCGCAAGGCCUCACGCGAUUAGAUGAGCCGAUGUCCGGUUAGCUAGUUGGCGGGGUAAUGGCCCACCAAGGCGACGAUCGGUAGCUGGUCUGAGAGGAUGAUCAGCCACAAUGGAACAGAGACACGGUCCAGACGCCUACGGGAGGCAGCAGUGGGGAAUAUUGGACAAUGGGCGCAAGCCUGAUCCAGCCAUACCGCGUGGGUGAAGAAGGCCUUCGGGUUGUAAAGCCCUUUUGUUGGGAAAGAAAUCCUGUCGAUUAAUACUCGGUGGGGAUGACGGUACCCAAAGAAUAAGCACCGGCUAACUUCGUGCCAGCCGCCGCAGUAAUAC
rnacentral:rRNA from 1 species